UGGGAUUAUAGCUCAGUGGUAGAGCACUUGCCUAGCAUGUGUGAAGCACUGGGUUCAAUUCUCAGUACUAG
rnacentral:tRNA from 1 species